AUGAUUCUGGUUUCAAUCCAGAGCAGAAUUUUCUUUACAUGUAGAAAAUCUAGAAAACUGCAUCUGGAUUGACAUCAUGGUCAG
rnacentral:pre_miRNA from 1 species